AAUAUAAUAUGAUUAAAACAAAUAAAGAUAUAUCAACUAAAGUAUUUUCCAAUGAAAACCACGAUCAAAAGAACUUUCUCUAUUUUGAUUGGUGGCUAUAUUAAAAUAUUCCCAAUACUUUCUCUAUCUGUGAUUAUGUUGUUAUGUAUACUCGGAGUAUGUUUUGUUUUAUCAGUUUGGGCAGUAGAAGCAGUGAGGCAGCAGCCUGCAUCCUUGCCAUCUGGAAAUUUCUUCACUAAUGACUAACUAGACUUGUUAAUGAUUAAUUAGGAGCAGGGUAGAGGUGAGGCUGGGGCACCAACCAGCCCCAACCGUGGAUCCGCCACUGCCAGUGCGCGCGCGCGGGCGCGCGUCGCCGGAGGGAAGACGGUGAGACGCCGCCAGCGAACGACCAUCCGCCUCCCAAAGGGAGUUUAUGUAGAAUAGCCGUGGCGUUCCAUCCCAUGUUAACUGGUAUGUGGAUUAAGCUCUUUGUUCAUCUAUACGGCUACUUGUCCAGUACUAUUAUGACCACACACCACCCAUAUGACACCAUUCCACCAACAGAAAUGGGUCCUAGUGUUCCAAGAGAGCAAGACUCCUCCUGGAUCUUCAGUGAUACCCUUCUUGAAAUCAAUCAGCGAUUGUAGAUCUAUGUUGUUCUCGCGGACAGUUGAGCAAUGGACGACGUCACGACGACAUUGUUGCCAACUCCAUAGCAUAGCAGCAGCAACACCAGUUGUACGAACACGGCGAGUUUCGCGGGUUGUUCCUGCUUGGAACACAUAUCACCUGCAAAAUAUGAAUAAAACAGCCAUGUUAUAUCUCUUUCCA